GUACUCGCUUCGGCGGUACAUGUAUACUAAAAUUGGAACGAGACAGAGAAGAUUAGCAUGGCCCCUGCGCAAGGAUGACACUCAAAAUUGUGAAGUGUUCCACAUUUUU